AUUGAACGCUGGCGGCAGGCCUAACACAUGCAAGUCGAGCGGCAGCACGGGUACUUGUACCUGGUGGCGAGCGGCGGACGGGUGAGUAAUGCCUAGGAAUCUGCCUGGUAGUGGGGGAUAACGCUCGGAAACGGACGCUAAUACCGCAUACGUCCUACGGGAGAAAGCAGGGGACCUUCGGGCCUUGCGCUAUCAGAUGAGCCUAGGUCGGAUUAGCUAGUUGGUGAGGAAUGGCUCACCAAGGCGACGAUCCGUAACUGGUCUGAGAGGAUGAUCAGUCACACUGGAACUGAGACACGGUCCAGACUCCUACGGGAGGCAGCAGUGGGGAAUAUUGGACAAUGGGCGAAAGCCUGAUCCAGCCAUGCCGCGUGUGU
rnacentral:rRNA from 1 species